rnacentral:ncRNA from 1 species
AAGAAAAUAGCAAACCUAUUGAAAAAUAGGGACGCAAAGCUAUGGGUCUAAGGGAUUAUAUCCUAGGACUGCCAGGUUGCCGU